rnacentral:rRNA from 1 species
UGCAGUCGGACGACAGGCGAGGAAUCCGCAAGGAGGAAUCGUGCUGAGUGGCGAACGGGUGAGUAAGACAUGGGGACGUACCCUCAAGAGGGGGAUAGCAUUCCGAAAGGGAUGGUAAUACCCCGUAAGCUCGAGAGAGGGAAGGUGCAACAGCACCGCUUGAGGAGCGACUCAUGGCCCAUCAGUUAGUUGGUGAGGUAAAGGCCCACCAAGGCUAUGACGGGUAGCUGGUCUGAGAGGAUGGUCAGCCACACUGGGACUGAGACACGGCCCAGACUCCUACGGGAGGCAGCAGUGGGGAAUUUUUCCCAAUGGGCGAAAGCCUGAGGGAGCGACGCCGCGUGGAGGAAGGAGUCUUUCGAGAUGUAAACUCCUGUUGUAAGGGAGCAAGGGUAUAUGUAGUGGAAAGGCAUAUACUCGGAUAGUACCUUACGAGGAAGCCCCGGCUAACUACGUGCCAGCAGCCGCGGUAAUACGUAGGGGGCGAGCGUUGUCCGGAGUUACUGGGCGUAAAGGGUGCGUAGGUGGCCGAUAAAGUCAAUUGUGAAAUUCUACGGCUCAACUGUGGGAGUGCGGUUGAAACUAAUCGGCUUGAGGUCAGGUCAGGAAGAUGGAAUUGUCAGUGUAGGGGUGAAAUCCGUAGAUAUUGGCAAGAACGCCGGUGGUGAAGACGGUCUUCUGGGCUGAUACUGACACUGAGGCACGAAAGCUAGGGGAGCGAACGGGAUUAGAUACCCCGGUAGUCCUAGCCGUAAACGAUGUUCACUGAGUAUGGGAGGCGUUAGCCAUCCGUGCUGAAGCAAACGCGUUAAGUGAACCGCCUGGGGAGUAC